rnacentral:rRNA from 1 species
CUUGACAAAUUAUAAGAGGUCCAGCCUGCCCAGUGACAUAGUUAAACGGCCGCGGUAUCCUGACCGUGCGAAGGUAGCAUAAUCACUUGUUCUUUAAAUAAGGACUAGUAUCAACGGCAUCACGAGGGUUAUACUGUCUCCUCUCUCCAAUCAGUGAAACUGAUCUCCCCGUGAAGAAGCGGGGAUAAACUUAUAAGACGAGAAGACCCCAUGGAGCUUUAAACUCAACAACAACCUCCACCACAAAACUCUACGUAACUACGGAGGUUCUGUUUGUUAGUUUUGGGUUGGGGUGACCGCGGAGAAAAACCAAACCUCCACGACGAACGGAACUAACUCCUAAUCUAAGAGCCACCGCUCUAAGAAUCAAUAUAUUGACAUAAAAUGAUCCGAUAAUCGAUCAACGAACCA